rnacentral:rRNA from 1 species
UACGAAGGGGGCUAGCGUUGCUCGGAAUCACUGGGCGUAAAGCGCACGUAGGCGGCUUUCUAAGUCAGGGGUGAAAUCCUGGAGCUCAACUCCAGAACUGCCUUUGAUACUGGAGAGCUUGAGUCCGGGAGAGGUGAGUGGAACUCCGAGUGUAGAGGUGAAAUUCGUAGAUAUUGGGAAGAACACCGGUGGCGAAGGCGGCUCACUGGCUCGUAACUGACGCUCAUGCACGACAGCGUGGGGAUCAAACAGG